rnacentral:rRNA from 1 species
GACGAACGCUGGCGGCGUGCCUAACACAUGCAAGUGGAGCGACGAACCGGGCUUCGGCCCGGGGCCAAGCCGCGAACGGGUGAGUAACACGUGGGUAACCUGCCCUGAUGAUUGGGACAACCCGAGGAAACUCGGGCUAAUACCGAAUGUGCCCUCCGACCAUAAGGUCUGCGGGGAAAGGAAGCUUCGGCCUCCGCAUCGGGAUGGGCCCGCGGCGCAUUAGCUUGUUGGUGAGGUAACGGCUCACCAAGGCGACGAUGCGUAGCUGGUCUGAGAGGACGAUCAGCCACACUGGGACUGAGACACGGCCCAGACUCCUACGGGAGGCAGCAGUGGGGAACCUUGCGCAAUGCGCGAAAGCGUGACGCAGCAACGCCGC